UCUCCGACAUAUAUAAUACAUUUCAUUAAACUUAUCUACUAUAGUUAUUAUAAAAAAAAGUAUUAAUUUAAGAGCUAGUUAAAUUUAAAUAUUGCAAAUUCCUAUUAGUAAAUGUUACUGUGCUGUAUGCGCUGAGGCUCGAGCGGCGUGGAAAGCAGGCAAGAGUAUUUUGUGAAAUACAGUUACAAACGUACGGUUGUAAUGCAGGGGCGAAGCUAACGCAAAAUAGGAACACAAGAGGUUCGUAAAUGAACCGGAUGCGAGGAUGGCGCAAGCGAACCAAAUAUACCAGAUCAAAAAUGAAGAUUAAAAUGUUACUUAAAGAUCUUAAUGGUUAUUUCGAAUGUGAAGUAGUGUUUGAAGAAUUAAAAAGAGUACAACCUGGUAGUGUUUAAUUCUCCUCUGUUCAACGUUUUUCAACAAAAUGGUCAGCACGAGAAAAUAGACUUCUCCCUAUAUAAUAUAUUGUACAGUUAGUGUCAAAAGGAAAUAUUUCUAAUCUUCAACAUAUUAAAUUUUGUAUACAUUCUAUUGUCUCAUGGAGAUCCCUCAAAGAUAUAAAUAGCGUACGAUGUAAAAAUGUAAAAAAAUGUCGAAAAGUCAGUCAUUCAACGUCACGCUGCAAUCGCUGAUAUAGACAUGUGUAAUGUGUGAAAUAUAGUGUUGUAAUGUAAUUAAAUGUAAUUAAAAAUAGCAAUAACAUCCCAACCAGCAUCCUACAGAGGAUACGAAAAGUAUUUCGAACUAAAGAAAUAAACCAAGAGAGACGAGCUCUCACAAAGAAAUGACCGCCCAGAAUGUUAAUGCAAAAGGCAUUGACAUCAGAAGGAAUCGUCUUGAUAUCUAUUGAUAAGGAACGCAGUCCAAAUUUUAUCUUUUCCAGACUGUGUCUUCUAUAAUAUUCGACUUUUAUCUUGAUUUCUGACUUAUUACCUCAGUCUGCAAUACAUUACUUCCUAUCGUACCGAACCACUUGUACAAACAUUUUCUCAAUAACUUUAGUGCCUUCUUACAUAUUUCACCGUGUUCAGUCCACCUGUGUUAAUAUUAUAUUUCUUGUAUUUUAAAAGACCUAAGUACUUAAUGAAUUUCUUUAAUUGCAUCUACAUAUUUCCUAUAGCUGGCUAGCUGGCUAUUCGAAACAGAUUGAAAAGAUUGGAUUGUGAAUCAAAAUCUAAAUUAAAAUUGCGUGAUAAAGUCAGAAGCAUGUGUAGAGUCAUAUGUACACUAUCUUCCAAUUUGUUAAGAGAAAUACUUACACACCUAACAACGACGCAUCGAUCUCAUUAGCUAACGCUAACUGUAUGGCCCUAAGACGCAUUUAUCAACUACGGAGGAACGAAAGAAAAGAACAUGACCUUCGGACACUUGCGCAGAGUCACGGGCGCCAUCUACCAAUCAUCGAUCGCGGUGGUCGACGAUGCAAACAUUCAAAACGAUCGAUAAGCGAGUGCAUGGAAUACAUUAUUCACUUUCGUCAAAUACAUAAUACAUUUCGUGCAAAUUUCUGAAUGGACAGGUUUAAUGUUUCUUCUUAUACAAGGUAAACCGUCCUACGUAUCUUGUUGGAUUGGUUGUAGCUUAAAUUCUUAGGUGGUUCAUCCUGUAUAUAUGU